AAAUUGGAUUCUUGAAUCAGAUAUCACCACUUUAGUAGGAUGGUAGGAAUUGCUUGCACUAUUGAUGCUUUUGAAGUUGAAGAUGAUUUUAUUGCAAAAAGAUGAACAGCUCUUGUUGUGAUUUAACAAACUACGAGAUUAUAUUGUUCGAGAAGAAAACAACUCACCACAACCACCAGUGGAGAACCAUACAUUGCUACAGAUGCUACCAGUCCGACGCUUCCAACAAAUGCCUUGCGAUGAUGAUGAUCAUGAAAUACAAAUGCUGAUAAUAUUGCAACAAGGCAGGACACCAGGAGAACAGAAUAUGCUCUUUCGUACAGCGUUUGUUCUACCGACGAGAUGGCUAACUUCUGACGGCUCUUUUUAGGCAAUGGCCAAAAGACAGAGAUUUGAAGGUUCAGAGGCCCAUGAGGUUCUUCUUUCAUUUGCCUCUUUUAAUACCAUGCUGCUUCAGGUAUGAUUUUCCCAGAAUU